AGGUUGUCUAAAAGUCUGCUGAUGAAAUGGAAGCUUCUGGACAUGUGAGUCUCAUUGUCUAUCAGACUGCCCCAGCUUGUUUCUUAGGCUAAACUUUAGAUUCACACGUCUGCUGCCUUCCUGACCCCAAGCCUUCCAUCUUGUUACCAGACAGGAAUGUUUUCUUUUGUUUUGUCAAAGUGCCAACUCUUCCUGGAAGCCAGGCCCAGAGGGAAGCUGUUCGGUGCACACCUGUAGCAAGGUUUGAAAUCUCCAGGGUACUUCAGACUGAAGAAGCGUGCAAACUGAAAAUUGCAGAGCAGGUUUCUGAGGGCCUUUCCCUUUUCUCAGAAAAUUCCAUCUGCUGGUGUGAAAACACAACAGCAUCAGUGUUUACUGGGUCAACAAAACCAACGGAUUUGUUUCUUCUUUUGGAGAUUGUGAAGGGAAGAUAUUUAUUGAAGGAGAAUGGAAAGUGAGAACAAGGUCCAGAAAACAGAAUUUGCCUGUCCCACCCGCAAGGAAUCCCAAAACUUGAGGACCAGAUAGACUUUCUGAUGAGCUGAUACCAAGGACAAAGUUUAAUGUUUAUUGAUCCCUGUGUGUAGGGUAAGGAACAGACAUAAAUUAGAGAAUAAAUGGAUUUUAUCAAAA